rnacentral:rRNA from 1 species
AUUGAACGCUGGCGGCAGGCCUAACACAUGCAAGUCGAACGGUAACAGGAAGAAGCUUGCUUCUUUGCUGACGAGUGGCGGACGGGUGAGUAAUGUCUGGGAAACUGCCUGAUGGAGGGGGAUAACUACUGGAAACGGUAGCUAAUACCGCAUAACGUCGCAAGACCAAAGAGGGGGACCUUCGGGCCUCUUGCCAUCGGAUGUGCCCAGAUGGGAUUAGCUAGUAGGUGGGGUAACGGCUCACCUAGGCGACGAUCCCUAGCUGGUCUGAGAGGAUGACCAGCCACACUGGAACUGAGACACGGUCCAGACUCCUACGGGAGGCAGCAGUGGGGAAUAUUGCACAAUGGGGGCAAGCCUGAUGCAGCCAUGCCGCGGGUAUGAAGAAGGCCUUCGGGUUGUAAAGUACUUUCAGCGGGGAGGAAGGGAGUAAAGUUAAUACCUUUGCUCAUUGACGUUACCCGCAGAAGAAGCACCGGCUAACUCCGUG